rnacentral:rRNA from 1 species
ACUCCGGGGGUUCGGGGCUAUACCGGAUAACAUUUUGAACUGCAUGGGUCGAAAUUGAAAGGCGGCUUCGGCUGUCACUUAUGGAUGGACCCGCGUCGCAUAGCUAGUUGGUGAGGUAACGGCUCACCAAGGCAACGAUGCGUAGCCGACCUGAGAGGGUGAUCGGCCACACUGGGACUGAGACACGGCCCAGACUCCUACGGGAGGCAGCAGUAGGGAAUCUUCCGCAAUGGACGAAAGUCUGACGGAGCAACGCCGCGUGAGUGAUGAAGGCUUUCGGGUCGUAAAACUCUGUUGUUAGGGAAGAACAAGUGCUAGUUGAAUAAGCUGGCACCUUGACGGUACCUAACCAGAAAGCCACGGCUAACUACGUGCCAGCAGCCGCGGUAAUACGUAGGUGGCAAGCGUUAUCCGGAAUUAUUGGGCGUAAAGCGCGCGCAGGUGGUUUCUUAAGUCUGAUGUGAAAGCCCACGGCUCAACCGUGGAGGGUCAUUGGAAACUGGGAGACUUGAGUGCAGAAGAGGAAAGUGGAAUUCCAUGUGUAGCGGUGAAAUGCGUAGAGAUAUGGAGGAACACCAGUGGCGAAGGCGACUUUCUGGUCUGUAACUGACACUGAGGCGCGAAAAGCGUGGGGAGCAAACAGGAUUAGAUACCCCUGGU